CACGUAGGCACCAAGCGUUGUCCGGAUUUAUUGGGCGUAAAGAGCUCGUAGGCGGUUCGGUAAGUCGGGUGUGAAAACUUUGGGCUCAACCCAAAGCCUGCACUCGAUACUGCUGUGACUUGAGUCCGGUAGGGGAGUGGGGAAUUCCCGGUGUAGCGGUGAAAUGCGCAGAUAUCAGGAGGAACACCAAUGGCGAAGGCAGCUCGCUGGGACGUGACUGACGCUGAGACGCGAAAGCGUGGGGAGCAAACAGG
rnacentral:rRNA from 1 species